rnacentral:rRNA from 1 species
UAGGGAAUCUUCCACAAUGGACGCAAGUCUGAUGGAGCAACGCCGCGUGAGUGAAGAAGGCUUUCGGGUCGUAAAACUCUGCUAUUGAAGAAGAACGUGUGUGACAGUAGCUGGUCAUGCAGUGACGGUAUUCAAUCAGAGAGGUCACGGCUAACUACGUGCCAGCAGCCGCGGUAAUACGUAGGUGGCAAGCGUUGUCCGGAUUUAUUGGGCGUAAAGCGAGUGCAGGCGGUCUUUUAAGUCUGAUGUGAAAGCCUUCGGCUUAACCGAAGAAGG